ACUCUAAGCGGUGGAUCACUCGGCUCAUGGGUCGAUGAAGAACGCAGCAAACUGUGCGUCAUCGUGUGAACUGCAGGACACAUGAACAUCGACAUUUUGAACGCAUAUCGCAGUCCAUGCUGUUAUGUACUUUAAUUAAUUUUAUAGUGCUGCUUGGACUACAUAUGGUUGAGGGUUGUAAGACUAUGCUAAUUAAGUUGCUUAUAAAUUUUUAUAAGCAUAUGGUAUAUUAUUGGAUAAAUAUAAUAAUUUUUAUUCAUAAUAUUAAAAAAUAAAUGAAAAACAUUAUCUCACAUUUGAAUGUGAAAAACGAAGAGAAAUAUUUUCUUUUUCAAUCAAAUAAUACUGAGAAAUGUCUAGCAUAAAAAAUUGAAAUAUUUUUCAUCUAGAAUUGUCUCUUAUUAAUGAUUCGGAAAUAGAAAAAUCUUGGUUAUGUUAUUAUUCUUCGUUGGUUCGUUAAAAAUGGAUAAAUAAAAACUUUGCAUACAAGAAUUAAUAAAAAUGUUAUAACGAAUUUAAUUAAAUGUUUUAUCAUUAUAUAUAAAGAAUUUAUGGCAAGAUAAAGUUAUAUACAACCUCAACUCAUAUGGGACUACCCCCUGAAUUUAAGCAUAUUAAUUAGGGGAGGAAAAGAAACUAACAAGGAUUUUCUUAGUAGCGGCGAGCGAAAAGAAAACAGUUCAGCACUAAGUCACUUUGUCUAUAUGGCAAAUGUGAGAUGCAGUGUAUGGAGCGUCAAUAUUCUAGUAUGAGAAAUUAACGAUUUAAGUCCUUCUUAAAUGAGGCCAUUUACCCAUAGAGGGUGCCAGGCCCGUAUAACGUUAAUGAUUACUAGAUGAUGUUUCCAAAGAGUCGUGUUGCUUGAUAGUGCAGCACUAAGUGGGUGGUAAACUCCAUCUAAAACUAAAUAUAACCAUGAGACCGAUAGUAAACAAGUACCGUGAGGGAAAGUUGAAAAGAACUCUGAAUAGAGAGUUAAACAGUACGUGAAACUGCUUAGAGGUUAAGCCCGAUGAACCUGAAUAUCCGUUAUGGAAAAUUCAUCAUUAAAAUUGUAAUAUUUAAAUAAUAUUAUGAGAAUAGUGUGCAUUUUUUCCAUAUAAGGACAUUGUAAUCUAUUAGCAUAUACCAAAUUUAUCAUAAAAUAUAACUUAUAGUUUAUUCCAAUUAAAUUGCUUGCAUUUUAACACAGAAUAAAUGUUAUUAAUUUGAUAAAGUGCUGAUAGAUUUAUAUGAUUACAGUGCGUUAAUUUUUCGGAAUUAUAUAAUGGCAUAAUUAUCAUUGAUUUUUGUGUUUAUUAUAUGCACUUGUAUGAUUAACAAUGCGAAAGAUUCAGGAUACCUUCGGGACCCGUCUUGAAACACGGACCAAGGAGUCUAACAUAUGUGCAAGUUAUUGGGAUAUAAACCUAAUAGCGUAAUUAACUUGACUAAUAAUGGGAUUAGUUUUUUAGCUAUUUAUAGCUAAUUAACACAAUCCCGGGGCGUUCUAUAUAGUUAUGUAUAAUGUAUAUUUAUAUUAUUUAUGCCUCUAACUGGAACGUACCUUGAGCAUAUAUGCUGUGACCCGAAAGAUGGUGAACUAUACUUGAUCAGGUUGAAGUCAGGGGAAACCCUGAUGGAAGACCGAAACAGUUCUGACGUGCAAAUCGAUUGUCAGAAUUGAGUAUAGGGGCGAAAGACCAAUCGAACCAUCUAGUAGCUGGUUCCUUCCGAAGUUUCCCUCAGGAUAGCUGGUGCAUUUUAAUAUUAUAUAAAAUAAUCUUAUCUGGUAAAGCGAAUGAUUAGAGGCCUUAGGGUCGAAACGAUCUUAACCUAUUCUCAAACUUUAAAUGGGUAAGAACCUUAACUUUCUUGAUAUGAAGUUCAAGGUUAUGAUAUAAUGUGCCCAGUGGGCCACUUUUGGUAAGCAGAACUGGCGCUGUGGGAUGAACCAAACGUAAUGUUACGGUGCCCAAAUUAACAACUCAUGCAGAUACCAUGAAAGGCGUUGGUUGCUUAAAACAGCAGGACGGUGAUCAUGGAAGUCGAAAUCCGCUAAGGAGUGUGUAACAACUCACCUGCCGAAGCAACUAGCCCUUAAAAUGGAUGGCGCUUAAGUUGUAUACCUAUACAUUACCGCUAAAGUAGAUGAUUUAUAUUACUUGUGAUAUAAAUUUUGAAACUUUAGUGAGUAGGAAGGUACAAUGGUAUGCGUAGAAGUGUUUGGCGUAAGCCUGCAUGGAGCUGCCAUUGGUACAGAUCUUGGUGGUAGUAGCAAAUAAUCGAAUGAGACCUUGGAGGACUGAAGUGGAGAAGGGUUUCGUGUGAACAGUGGUUGAUCACGAGUUAGUCGGUCCUAAGUUCAAGGCGAAAGCCGAAAAUUUUCAAGUAAAACAAAAAUGCCUAACUAUAUAAACAAAGCGAAUUAUAAUACACUUGAAUAAUUUUGAACGAAAGGGAAUACGGUUCCAAUUCCGUAACCUGUUGAGUAUCCGUUUGUUAUUAAAUAUGGGCCUCGUGCUCAUCCUG
rnacentral:rRNA from 1 species